AGCUGGCUUAGUUAGGAGGCAGAAAUCAAAUUAGAUCGAAAGAUGUUUUGUCUUCGGUCGUUUCAAUCUAAGGCCCGUUUGAGGGGACAAUUUUGCUCUUUUCAUUACCAGUUGUCCUCCAAGCAGCCUUUGACAUUC
rnacentral:snoRNA from 13 species